AUUUACUGGAUUUCUGAAAGAUCUUACAGAUUUUAAAUAAUGAUAUUUCAAUUAUCUGAUUGAGUAAAAGAAAACUGAACCAGUUGUAUUAUAAUACAAUUACACAUUUCAUUUUUGUUUCAAAAAAUUUAAAAUAAGUUAUACAAUAGAUUAGAAGAGAGCUUCACAAUCUCUUCAGCAUAGAUUCUUUCUGAAAGAUCAUAUUAAAAAAUCUGAAUUUCCAUUCAAGAAAAAAAUAGUGGUUUCCUGCUAAAUAACAGUAAAUAAUUUUUUUUUCAAAUUGUUUAUUACCUUGAUUUAGGAUAUUUUAAG
rnacentral:lncRNA from 1 species